rnacentral:rRNA from 1 species
CCUACGGGAGGCUGCCGUGGGGAAUAUUGGACAAUGGGCGAAAGCCUGAUCCAGCCAUGCCGCGUGUGUGAAGAAGGCCUUCGGGUUGUAAAGCACUUUCAGUGGGGAAGAAAGCCUUGGGGCUAAUACCCUCGAGGAAGGACAUCACCCACAGAAGAAGCACCGGCUAACUCCGUGCCAGCAGCCGCGGUAAUACGGAGGGUGCGAGCGUUAAUCGGAAUUACUGGGCGUAAAGCGCGCGUAGGCGGUCUGAUAAGCCGGUUGUGAAAGCCCCGGGCUCAACCUGGGAACGGCAUCCGGAACUGUCAGGCUAGAGUGCAGGAGAGGAAGGUAGAAUUCCCGGUGUAGCAGUGAAAUGCGUAGAGAUCUGGAGGAAUACCAGUGGCGAAGGCGGCCUUCUGGACUGACACUGACGCUGAGGUGCGAAAGCGUGGGUAGCAAACAGGAUUAGAUACCCGGGUAGUC